AAAUGAAUAGACGGGGGCCCGCACAAGCGGUGGAGCAUGUGGUUUAAUUCGAAGCAACGCGAAGAACCUUACCAGGGUUUGACAUCCCUUGACCGCCUCAGAGAUGAGGUUUCCCUUCGGGGCAAGGAGACAGGUGGUGCAUGGUUGUCGUCAGCUCGUGUCGUGAGAUGUUGGGUUAAGUCCCGCAACGAGCGCAACCCUUGCUUUUAGUUGCCAUCAUUAAGUUGGGCACUCUAAAGGGACUGCCGGUGACAAACCGGAGGAAGGUGGGGAUGACGUCAAAUCAUCAUGCCCCUUAAGUCCUGGGCUACACACGUGCUACAAUGGUCUGCACAGAGGGAAGCGAAAGGGCGACCUGGAGCGGAUCCCACAAAACAGAUCUCAGUUCGGAUUGCAGGCUGCAACUCGCCUGUAUGAAGUCGGAAUCGCUAGUAAUCGCAGGUCAGCAUACUGCGGUGAAUACGUUCCCGGGCCUUGUACACACCGCCCGU
rnacentral:rRNA from 1 species